UUGAAGAGUUUGAUCAUGGCUCAGAUUGAACGCUGGCGGCAGGCCUAACACAUGCAAGUCGAACGGUAACAGGAAGCAGCUUGCUGCUUUGCUGACGAGUGGCGGACGGGUGAGUAAUGUCUGGGAAACUGCCUGAUGGAGGGGGAUAACUACUGGAAACGGUAGCUAAUACCGCAUAACGUCGCAAGACCAAAGAGGGGGACCUUCGGGCCUCUUGCCAUCGGAUGUGCCCAGAUGGGAUUAGCUAGUAGGUGGGGUAACGGCUCACCUAGGCGACGAUCCCUAGCUGGUCUGAGAGGAUGACCAGCCACACUGGAACUGAGACACGGUCCAGACUCCUACGGGAGGCAGCAGUGGGGAAUAUUGCACAAUGGGCGCAAGCCUGAUGCAGCCAUGCCGCGUGUAUGAAGAAGGCCUUCGGGUUGUAAAGUACUUUCAGCGGGGAGGAAGGGAGUAAAGUUAAUACCUUUGCUCAUUGACGUUACCCGCAGAAGAAGCACCGGCUAACUCCGUGCCAGCAGCCGCGGUAAUACGGAGGGUGCAAGCGUUAAUCGGAAUUACUGGGCGUAAAGCGCACGCAGGCGGUUUGUUAAGUCAGAUGUGAAAUCCCCGGGCUCAACCUGGGAACUGCAUCUGAUACUGGCAAGCUUGAGUCUCGUAGAGGGGGGUAGAAUUCCAGGUGUAGCGGUGAAAUGCGUAGAGAUCUGGAGGAAUACCGGUGGCGAAGGCGGCCCCCUGGACGAAGACUGACGCUCAGGUGCGAAAGCGUGGGGAGCAAACAGGAUUAGAUACCCUGGUAGUCCACGCCGUAAACGAUGUCGACUUGGAGGUUGUGCCCUUGAGGCGUGGCUUCCGAGCUAACGCGUUAAGUCGACCGCCUGGGGAGUACGGCCGCAAGGUUAAAACUCAAAUGAAUUGACGGGGGCCCGCACAAGCGGUGGAGCAUGUGGUUUAAUUCGAUGCAACGCGAAGAACCUUACCUGGUCUUGACAUCCACGGAAGUUUUCAGAGAUGAGAAUGUGCCUUCGGGAACCGUGAGACAGGUGCUGCAUGGCUGUCGUCAGCUCGUGUUGUGAAAUGUUGGGUUAAGUCCCGCAACGAGCGCAACCCUUAUCCUUUGUUGCCAGCGGUCCGGCCGGGAACUCAAAGGAGACUGCCAGUGAUAAACUGGAGGAAGGUGGGGAUGACGUCAAGUCAUCAUGGCCCUUACGACCAGGGCUACACACGUGCUACAAUGGCGCAUACAAAGAGAAGCGACCUCGCGAGAGCAAGCGGACCUCAUAAAGUGCGUCGUAGUCCGGAUUGGAGUCUGCAACUCGACUCCAUGAAGUCGGAAUCGCUAGUAAUCGUGGAUCAGAAUGCCACGGUGAAUACGUUCCCGGGCCUUGUACACACCGCCCGUCACACCAUGGGAGUGGGUUGCAAAAGAAGUAGGUAGCUUAACCUUCGGGAGGGCGCUUACCACUUUGUGAUUCAUGACUGGGGUGAAGUCGUAACAAGGUAACCGUAGGGGAACCUGCGGUUGGAUCACCUCCUU
rnacentral:rRNA from 1 species